rnacentral:rRNA from 1 species
AACGUACGCUGGCGGCACGCCUAACACAUGCAAGUCGAACGAAGUAGCAAUACUUAGUGGCAGACGGGUGAGUAACAUGUAGGUAUCUGCCCUUUGGCCUGGAAUAACACGAGGAAACUUGUGCUAAUACCGGAUAAGUCUUUACGGAGAAAGCUUUAUGCACCAUUGGAUGAGCCUGCACUUGAUUAGUUUGUUGGUGGGGUAAUGGCCUACCAAGACUGUGAUCAAUAGCUGAUUUGAGAGGAUGAUCAGCCACAUUGGGACUGAGACACGGCCCAAACUCCUACGGGAGGCAGCAGUGGGGAAUCUUGCACAAUGGAGGAAACUCUGAUGCAGCGAUGCCGCGUGAGUGAAGAAGGCCCUUGGGUUGUAAAGCUCUUUCGUCGGGGAAGAAAAUGACUGUACCCGAAUAAGAAGGUCCGGCUAACUUCGUGCCAGCAGCCGCGGUAAUACGAAGGGACCUAGCGUAGUUCGGAAUUACUGGGCUUAAAGAGUUCGUAGGUGGUUGAAAAAGUUAGUGGUGAAAUCCCAGAGCUUAACUCUGGAACUGCCAUUAAAACUUUUCAGCUAGAGUAUGAUAGAGGAAAGCAGAAUUUCUAGUGUAGAGGUGAAAUUCGUAGAUAUUAGAAAGAAUACCAAUUGCGAAGGCAGCUUUCUGGAUCAUUACUGACACUGAGGAACGAAAGCAUGGGUAGCGAAGAGGAUUAGAUACCCUCGUAGUCCAUGCCGUAAACGAUGUGUGUUAGACGUUGGAAAUUUAUUUUCAGUGUCGCAGGGAAACCGAUAAACACACCGCCUGGGGAGUACGACCGCAAGGUUAAAACUCAAAUGAAUUGACGGGGACCCGCACAAGUAGUGGAGCAUGUGGUUUAAUUCGAAGAUACGCGCAGAACCUUACCAACACUUGACAUGUUCGUCGCGACUCUAAGAGAUUAGAGUUUUCGGUUCGGCCAGACGAAACACAGGUGCUGCAUGGCUGUCGUCAGCUCGUGUCGUGAGAUGUUGGGUUAAGUCCCGCAACGAGCGCAACCCUCACUUUUAGUUGCCAUCAUUUAGUUGGGCACUCUGAAAGAACUGCCAGUGAUAAGCUGGAGGAAGGUGGGGAUGACGUCAAGUCCUCAUGGCCCUUACGUGUUGGGCUACACACGUGCUACAAUGGUAUCUACAACAGGAAGCAAGACUGCGAAGUUAAGCAAAUCCCUAAAAGAUACCUCAGUUCGGAUUGCACUCUGCAACUCGAGUGCAUGAAGCUGGAAUUACUAGUAAUCGUGGAUCAGCGUGCCACGGUGAAAUGCGUUCCCGGGUCU